UACGGAGGGUGCGAGCGUUGUCCGGAAUCAUUGGGCGUAAAGGGCGCGUAGGUGGCGGGACAAGCGUGCGGUGAAAGCUCGGGGCUCAACCCCGAGUCGGCCGUGCGAACUGUUUUGCUUGAGCACUGUAGAGGCAGGCGGAAUUCCGGGUGUAGCGGUGGAAUGCGUAGAGAUCCGGAAGAACACCGGUGGCGAAGGCGGUUAGCUGGGCAGUUGCUGACACUGAGGCGCGACAGCGUGGGGAGCAAACAGG
rnacentral:rRNA from 1 species